rnacentral:rRNA from 1 species
UACGUAGGGUGCAAGCGUUAAUCGGAAUUACUGGGCGUAAAGCGUGCGCAGGCGGCUAUGCAAGACAGAUGUGAAAUCCCCGGGCUCAACCUGGGAACUGCAUUUGUGACUGCAUGGCUAGAGUACGGCAGAGGGGGAUGGAAUUCCUGGUGUAGCAGUGAAAUGCGUAGAUAUCAGGAGGAAUACCGAUGGCGAAGGCAGGUCUCUGGGCUGACACUGACGCUCAUGCACGAAAGCGUGGGGAGCAAACAGG